ACAAGUCUCCCAAGGCUGAGUUCAUCCUCUACAGAGGGUUCAUUGGGCAGAGAAAACUUUUCAUCCUAGAGUGACUCACCCAAAUCGUACAACUCUCCCUAUAAUUUAAUGAUCUCGGGAUCAGAAAAGAAUGCUCAAAAUCAAAAAGAUAAUUUCAAACACUUCACAUGAUAACACCGCAUGAGUUCAACUUUCUGCUUCCUCUAGAAACUCCUUACAAGCCAAAGAUAUACUACAAACUAAUUGCAGAGGCCAUGAUGUGGGAACAAAAUGCUCAAUAAACAAAUUGCAGAAGAAGAAUGGAAAGGCAAUAAAGACAAGAAUUCAGUUGCAAUUUCAAUGAAUUUAACUGGGAUAAUUUUUCCCCCCUAUUGUUUGUAGAGAGUUUCCAAUGUAUUUAAGUGGGAUACAUUCUUUUCCCAAUUGUUUGUUACAAAGUUCAACCUCUCCCCAUGUUUAAUGACAGACUAAACAAUGAAAAUAAAUUCUAUGUUUGCCCGGGAUAGUAGGUGGGAUCAUGGCGGUGGCUUGAACUGCUGCCACUGCUAUCAGAAUCAUCUACUUCAUUACUAGCCAUGCUCUCUUCUUGUCCAAUUUGGUUGACUACUCCCGCAACACCUUCAUUCACUUCUAUAACAUCAGAAGAUAUCUCUAUAAUAUCAAGAGCAGGGUUUGGUGGCUGUUGCAUCUCAGGAAAUAGCCAAUUCAAAACCCUUCUGAUCAUUGGCCUUAUAAAGCAAGUUGCUGUGUCGAAGAAACCUAUAAAAACAAAUAAUUGCAAGUUAGUUGGAUACGCAUCGCCUUCUAUAAAACCAAGAACAUAAGCGAUAUCAAGAAAGUCACCUGUACUUCUUCGAAGAAGGUGUUGAAUAUAUACUAAUCUUUCCUCUUCACUCAAUUGAAGAAGUAUGUUUCUGAGAUCGGUUGCUG
rnacentral:lncRNA from 1 species